rnacentral:tRNA from 1 species
GGAGAGGUGUCCGAGUGGUCGAUGGAACCCGUCUUGAAAACGGGCAGGCGAUGAGCCUCGCGGGUUCGAAUCCCGCCCUCUCCG